AUAGAUGGCUUGCAAUGCUAGUUGACCUUGCUAGUAUAUGUAGCUUGACAUCACCAGAACAGAGACCAACAAUGAGGCAAAUCUUGAAAAUGAUACAAGAUAUAAAGGAUAGUGCAAUGGUCGAGAAUAACAAAAGGGAUGCACAUAAUGGAUACUCAUAGCUUGCAGUUACACCAUUAACCAGCAAGGGUACAUGGUCAAUUGUAAGUAAGUGUCACACCUGAAACCAAUUUGGAUAAUGAAAUCAUUUA
rnacentral:misc_RNA from 1 species